UUUCAACUUUCAACAAGGGCUUCCUGAAUAAGUUUCUCUGUCAAAGUUUUUGAGAGUCCCAUCACGCAAUCAGCGGUUCCUACCUGAAAAACUCAUUCAGUGAGGAGGGCAUAUGGAACCGUUUACAAGCACAAACAAGAGUUGAGUUAACGCUGUUAACUCCUUCCGUGAAGGCAUCAUUAAGUUCUCGGGGCACGUUAUAAUUCGGCAUCAGAAUUGGGCAACUUAUGCUGGCAAAACCUCCGCCCAACCUAAAUUUUUUUAUUUUUGGCACCCUUUUUGGAAUGACACUUUUUUAUUGAUAUAUUUACGAGACUCUUGGACUACUUUUCUUUUC